rnacentral:rRNA from 1 species
GACGAACGCUGGCGGCGUGCUUAACACAUGCAAGUCGAGCGGGGAUUACUAGCGGAAGGGCUUCGGCCUGGAAGGUAAUAAUUCUAGCGGCGGACGGGUGAGUAACGCGUGAACAAUCUAUCCCAGAGUGGGGGAUAACACAAUGAAAGUUGUGCUAAUACCGCAUAAGCCCACGGUUUCGCAUGGAGCUGAGGGAAAAGGAGCAAUUCGCUUUGGGAUGAGUUCGCGUCUGAUUAGCUAGUUGGUGAGGUAACGGCCCACCAAGGCAACGAUCAGUAGCCGGCCUGAGAGGGCGAUCGGCCACACUGGAACUGAGAGACGGUCCAGACUCCUACGGGAGGCAGCAGUGGGGAAUAUUGGGCAAUGGGGGAAACCCUGACCCAGCAACGCCGCGUGAGGGAAGAAGGCUUUCGGGUCGUAAACCUCUGUCCCAUGUGAAGAGGAGAAGACGGUAGCAUGGGAGGAAGCCCCGGCUAACUACGUGCCAGCAGCCGCCGUAAGAC